GCUCGGGUGGUGGAAUUGGCAGACACGAGGGUCUUAGAAGCCCUUGCCGAAAGGCUUGCCGGUUCGAGUCCGGCCCCGAGCA
rnacentral:tRNA from 1 species